GACGAACGCUGGCGGCGUGCCUAAUACAUGCAAGUAGAACGCACAGUUUAUACCGUAGCUUGCUACACCAUAGACUGUGAGUUGCGAACGGGUGAGUAACGCGUAGGUAACCUGCCUGGUAGCGGGGGAUAACUAUUGGAAACGAUAGCUAAUACCGCAUAAUAUUAAUUAUUGCAUGAUAAUUAAUUGAAAGGUGCAAUUGCACCACUACCAGAUGGACCUGCGUUGUAUUAGCUAGUAGGUGAGGUAACGGCUCACCUAGGCGACGAUACAUAGCCGACCUGAGAGGGUGAUCGGCCACACUGGGACUGAGACACGGCCCAGACUCCUACGGGAGGCAGCAGUAGGGAAUCUGCGGCAAUGGACGGAAGUCUGACCGAGCAACGCCGCGUGAGUGAAGAAGGUUGUCGGGUCGUAAAGCUCUGUUGUAAGAGAAGAACGGGUGUGAGAGUGGAAAGUUCACACUGUGACGGUAUCUUACCAGAAAGGAACGGCUAACUACGUG
rnacentral:rRNA from 1 species